AUCCUUUUGUAGUUCAUAAUCAUGAUGACUGAGUGUUCACAUGCAUGUGGGAGAUGUGUCUCCCUCCAACCUUGUAAUGACGUCAGCACGCUACCCAUCUGAUG